GACGAACGCUGGCGGCGUGCUUAACACAUGCAAGUCGAACGGAAAGGCCUCUUUCGGGGGGUACUCGAGUGGCGAACGGGUGAGUAACACGUGAGUAACCUGCCCUUGACUUUGGGAUAACUUCAGGAAACUGGGGCUAAUACCGGAUAGGAGCUCCUGCUGCAUGAUGGGGGUUGGAAAGUUUCGGCGGUUGGGGAUGGACUCGCGGCUUAUCAGCUUGUUGGUGGGGUAGUGGCUUACCACGGCUUUGACGGGUAGCCGGCCUGAGAGGGUGACCGGCCACAUUGGGACUGAGAUACGGCACAGACUCCUACGGGAGGCAGCAGUGGGGAAUAUUGCACAAUGGGUGGAAGCCUGAUGCAGCAACGCCGUGUGCGGGAUGACGGCCUUCGGGUUGUAAACCGCUUUCGCUCAUGACGAAGCUUUGUGUGACGGUAGUGGGUAAAGAAGCACCGGCUAACUACGUG
rnacentral:rRNA from 1 species